UACAGAGGGUGCUAGCGUUAAUCGGAUUUACUGGGCGUAAAGCGUGUGUAGGCGGUUUGUUAAGUCGGGUGUGAAAUCCCUGGGCUCAACCUGGGAAUUGCAUUCGAUACUGGCAAGCUAGAGUACGGUAGAGGGCGGCGGAAUUCCGGGUGUAGCGGUGAAAUGCGUAGAUAUCCGGAGGAACACCGAUGGCGAAGGCAACCGCCUGGGCCUGUACUGACGCUGAGGAGCGAAAGCGUGGGGAGCGAACAGG
rnacentral:rRNA from 1 species